rnacentral:pre_miRNA from 1 species
CGUUAUGCUUUUCCACGGCUUUCUUGAACUUAGUGCUCAGGUGGUAGGAAAUGUUUUCCUAGCAGAUCUGGGUACAAAGCUCAAGAAAGCUGUGGGAAAACAUAAAAG